GACGAACCGUGCGAACGUUGUUCGGAAUCAUUGGGCUUAAAGGGCGCGUAGGCGGACACUCAAGUCGGUGGUGAAAUCCUCCGGCUCAACCGGAGAAGAGCUGUCGAUACUGGGUGUCUCGAGGGGUGUAGGGGUCUGUGGAACUUUGGGUGGAGCGGUGAAAUGCGUAGAGAUCCAAAGGAACGCCGGUGGCGAAAGCGACGGACUGGACACCUUCUGACGCUGAGGCGCGAAAGCCAGGGGAGCAAACGGG
rnacentral:rRNA from 1 species